rnacentral:rRNA from 1 species
GAUCAUGGCUCAGGACGAACGCUGGCGGCGUGCCUAAUACAUGCAAGUUGAACGCUUGAUUUUCACCGAAGCUUGGCUUCACCGAAAAUCAAGAGUAGCGAACGGGUGAGUAACGCGUGGGUAACCUACCUUUCAGCGGGGGAUAACUAUUGGGAAACGAUAGCUAAUACCGCAUAAUAAUGUUGGAUGCAUAUUCGACAUUUGAAAGUCCAACUGGUACACUGAGAGAUGGACCGCGUUGU